CAACUCGUUUCAUUGUCGUUGCUGUGCUUCUUCAUCUCAUCAUCACAGUUUCGCCAAAUCGCGCCGUCGUCUAGAGCCACUAUACCCCAUCGCGAUGCGUCUCCGUCCAACGCGCUUGAAUCGUACCACCAUCGUUGUUGAUUUCCAUGCUACAAGUCUACAACCACCAAUUUUGGUCUUGGUAAGGUAACCACCAAAUAGUUGUCUUGCCAUUCUUCUUCUUCAUUUUGAUAUCAUUAUUUUCAUGGAAACUUAUAUAUAUAGAUUAAUGGUUAAUACAAUUCUUAACCAAUCUAUUUUCGUUGAAUACAGGCAACAAACAACAUAUGCUGGUGAAGAAGUGAAGUGUUGGAGAAGAAGAAGAAAAUUGAACAAAUUUGUUGAAGAAGAAGAAGAAGAAAAUGAUCAAUGGAUAAAAGAAAAAGAGAUAGAGGAAUAAGAAAUUAAUCGAAUAAAACAAAUAAGACGGAAAGAAAGAACUCUCACAAGUAAAAAGAAGAAAAGAAAAAGAAAAUAAGAAAAGAAUUUUAUUCAUACGAAAUUUUGUAUGUUUUUAAAUUAUUUUGAUAUAAAAUUUGAAAAUAAAUCAAA
rnacentral:lncRNA from 1 species